UGGCCCUUGUGCUGUGUGUUGUCCAGUCAGUUUGCCUUCAUUCCAAGCUGCAUCCGGUUCAUCAAUUUGAAUCAUUUCUAUCGCCAUGACCAUGACCAUGACCAUCACGAUGUUCUGUGUAGCUCGAUCCGACUCCGACUUGGCUUGGGUUCCUGGCUUCCCUGCUGGCUUGCUGGCUUCCUGGAUGGGCUGGGCUCCCUUGACGUGCGUGUGCUGAAGAGACAUCGAUUGAGUCGUCAUUUCGCGGGAAGGGGCUGAACAAAACUUUAAAUGAUGCGGGUGGUACUCGAUACCUGGGUUGCCGCGUGAGCUGCAGCAGGGAUCCAGGUCACAGAUACCGGGACGCGACGUGGACAGAAAUCAGGCCCGUGCGUAAUUAAAAUACACCUAGCUAUACGAAACGAGACGGCACGGCAGGGGCAUCUGGAGCCUGGAGGGAGCGGUGGAGAUAGCGGGCACAGCUAGUAACUGCAAGCAGCGAACUGAGUACAGUAACUCAAUGAGCUAAGAAUAAUAAUACGAAAUAGUGUCAAGAAAAAACGUGGGAAAGCGACCAGGGUCGUGGGAAUCAGCGGGUUUUUCUUUUUUCUUUUUUCUUUUUUCGUUUUUGGCAUUGUGGAGGAGGCACAGACAGACCGUUUGUACGCAGGAAUGAGAUAUUUAUGGGCGGUUGUUCGUUCAUGAGUGGUUCACGAGUGGUUUUCCAAUGAUUCUUUGUUUCCUCCAUCAUAUUCCUCUCCAUUUUCUUCCGUUUCCCUCGCUCCUUACAUGUGGUGGGGACGAGCUGUUUUUUGCCAUUUGCCGCAUUCGUUGAGUGGAAGAACAAGUAACACCA
rnacentral:sRNA from 2 species